AGCUCAGCUGGAUAGAGCGUUGCCCUCCGGAGGCAAAGGUCAGAGGUUCGAAUCCUCUC
rnacentral:tRNA from 1 species